GUGCCAGCAGCCGCGGUAAUACAGAGGUCCCAAGCGUUGUUCGGAUUCACUGGGCGUAAAGGGUGCGCAGGUGGGUUUGCAAGUUCGAUGUGAAAGCCCCGGGCUUAACCCGGGAAUGGCAUUGGAUACUGCAGAUCUGGAGGAUCGGAGGGGGGACUGGAAUUCUUGGUGUAGCAGUGAAAUGCGUAGAUAUCAAGAGGAACACCAGUGGCGAAGGCGAGUCCCUGGACGAUACCUGACACUGAGGCACGAAAGCUAGGGGAGCAAACAGGAUUAGAAACCCUCGUAGUCC
rnacentral:rRNA from 1 species